rnacentral:rRNA from 1 species
UACGUAGGGGCAAGCGUUGUCCGGAUUUAUUGGGCGUAAAGAGCGUGUAGGCGGCCGUACAGGUCAGCUGUGAAACUCGAGGCUCAACCCUCGAGACGUCGGUUGAAACCGUACGGCUAGAGUCCGGAAGAGGAGAGUGGAAUUCCCGGUGUAGCGGUGAAAUGCGCAGAUAUCGGGAAGAACACCCGUGGCGAAGGCGGCUCUCGUAGGACGGUACGUGACGCUGAGACGCGAAAGCGUGGGAGCGAACAGG